UCGGCGCACGGAGUUGAAUAUCUGCGCACCUGGAUAAUAAAGCGAGGUUCGCCAGCAGGCAAGCAGGCCGGGCCAGUCAGGCAGGCGGGCAGGCGGGCAGGCAGAGGCGGCCACCUUUCCUUUCCCUUCGCUUACCUGCCUGGCAUUUUCACUGCGGGACAGCGGCAGCAGCUCGAGCCGAAAUCGCGUCGCCGCGCGCAACCGACGAACGCCGUACGAAUAAGUACAUCCUUCGAAGAACAAGAUAUUGUUGUACGCGUAAAGCGUACCUGCGCAGGUACGCGGUAUUAUAUAUAUAUGUGUGUAUAUACAGAGACGCAUAUAUAUAUAUGUAUAUAUGUAUAAAGAGAAAGAGACGUACUACUACCUGUGUUCGAAUUGUAUUUUAUUAAUGUACCUACGACCGCGUGCGGGACACGAUUUUACCGAUAUCCGAAAUCUUUUUUCAAUCGGUACGCGAACCGAGUUGGAAUACCUAUAAUUCAACCAAGAGUGAACAGUGAAACGAUUACAUCGGUGCAGUGGUGUCUCUUUGCUGCUGUUUACGGGUAUUUUACGUUAUGAAAUUACUUCGUACAUGUUUAUAACGAUACGCUAUAACCGUCUGAUAUACAGGUAGAGAAGAAUUACGGACGAACGGUUCCGCCGUUCACGGGUCCGGUGAUUUCGAACGGUGUUCAAUAAUCGUGAUACUAACGAAUCAGGGAUAUAAAUCGACCGAUCAAGCUCGAGCGAUACUCGCGGUACGCGUGUGGGAAUAAAUUGAUAUUGUGAAACUGUAAUAACCACAGGUGAGAAGAAGAAAACAGCGUUGUUGGGAAGUGUUGCGUAUAACCUAACAACCACCGAAUUGAAGUACUCGACACCUGGUCUGCCUUUACACAGUGCGCGAGGCAGGUAUAUCUUCGUACAUAACCUUAAAUCGGAGACCGACUUCGAUUACGACGUGAUAUUAUGACGCCGUCUUGCCGUAUAUUGUGAAUUAUUCAGUGUUGAAAGUGCAGCCCGUUGGAUUAGGAUUCCGUUAUAAGAUUGGCUCUCUCUUUCUCUCCCUUCCUCUCUUCCUCCACCCUCGGCCCGCAUUCUCUUGUCAAAUACCAAACACAUAUGCAUUUGCCGACAACUUCCCACCACUUGUCACACUCCUAAUCCUGUAUUUUAAAAUUGGUGAGGGUGGUGCUAGUGUUGUUCUUUCACCGUGGUUACGGGCUGAUUCUGAUAUAGACGACCGGAAAUGCAGAUGAUGGCCGGAAGAGGGCCGACGCACCUGGUCGCCCUUUACGUGGCCACUGCCGGACAACAAGGAAACGCGCUCGGAUCCGACGAGGAGGAAAUCACGCUCCUCGUUUACGUCCUUAUCGACGCUCUCCAAAACAAGGUUAUGGGGAGGCAGCAGUACAUCGUUCGGCCCAUGGUGAUGGACAGCGGGGGCGUUGGAGUCACGGGCGAUAAUGGCGUGCAGGUUGCCGGUAGCAGCGGCGUCAUAAGCGAGACGGCCCUUGCUCAUGCACCAACCCUCACAGAGUCUAACCUCCGAGAACGCGGAAUCCCCUUGCACCAAGCCAUCAGACAGUUCGAGGGCUGGUGGUCGUCGUUGACGUGUGUCGCGGCCGGUAGUUCACCCCGCUUUGUAGUGGACGGACAGGCGCCUUUGCGGCAAUGCCUUCAUCCAGAAGCCUGCAACAAGGACUUCGACCUUCCCCCGCACUACACCGUCUUCCAUGACCUGCGCAAGGAGUUUGCCACUUGUUACUCAUCCCAGGAAGACCUUGCAGCCCUCAGUAUACAGGAUAUGCUACAAUACUUUGGCCUGACACCGGACACGGAGAAUGAUUACCAUGUGAAGGAGGUUCAAGAUAUGGUGACUAUCAUUCAGAGGAUGAUUAAAGAUGGUCACACAUUUCUGAAUCCUGAAGUGGUCAAUCUUGUCCUGGAACCAGGCAUAUGUUCAAAAGACGAAGAGGUCGAUAAUAAUUGUGUUGUGAGAGCACGCGGCUUACCUUGGCAGUCCUCGGAUCAGGACAUUGCCAAAUUCUUCAGAGGGCUUAAUGUUGCCAAAGGCGGUGUUGCCCUGUGUUUGAGCGCACAGGGUAGGCGUAACGGGGAGGCAUUGGUGCGCCUAGUAAGCAAGGAGCACAGAGACAUGGCGCUCAAAAGGCACAAACACCACAUUGGGGCCAGAUAUAUUGAGGUAUACAAGGCUUCGGGUGAAGACUUUGUUGGUGUGGCAGGUGGUGCUAGCGGUGAAGCACACGCAUUUCUUUCACGCGGAGCCCAAGUUAUAGUUAGAAUGAGAGGGCUGCCCUAUGAUUGUACAGCCAAGCAAGUUUUGGAGUUUUUCCUAGCUGGCGAAAAUUCGUGUCAGGUACUAGACGGUGAGGAAGGUGUGCUAUUUGUGAAAAAACCUGAUGGAAGGGCGACUGGCGAUGCAUUUGUACUUUUUGCCAAAGAAGAAGAUGCCUCGAAGGCUCUCAGUAAACAUCGGGAUCUGAUCGGUAGCCGAUAUAUCGAACUCUUUCGAAGCACGACAGCCGAGGUUCAACAGGUACUGAAUAGAUCAAUGGAUCCAAAGACGUACGAGGCCCCAGCACCACUAUUGGCGACAAUUCCACAAGUCCCUCUUCUUCCGCAACACAUAAUCACCUCUGGAACACGUAAAGAUUGCGUGCGUCUGCGUGGUCUCCCAUACGAAGCACAAGUUGAACAUAUAUUGGAAUUUUUGGGUGAACAUGCAAAGAACAUAGUCUUCCAAGGAGUUCACAUGGUUUACAACUCUCAGGGCCAGCCAUCGGGCGAGGCUUUCAUCCAGAUGGACAGCGAAAGUUCUGCUUAUGCCUGCGCAUCGCAGCGUCACCAUCGUUAUAUGAUAUUUGGCAAGAAGCAACGUUACAUCGAAGUAUUUCAGUGCAGUGGCGAAGACAUGAAUCUGGUAUUGACAGGCGCUGUCGCACCACCACCUGCCAAAGCUCUACUAUCUCCCGUAAUCGGAUGUUAGUGUGGUUAGCAGUGGUAAAGGAGCAGACUAUCUGAACGGCGAAGAUUAUUGGUGUGGAGGUACAAUGAUGCCGCCUCCGUUUGGACCAGGUGCGAUAUAUCCUGCGCAAGCGGCAAUGUUACCUCGGGGGCCACCGCAAUUUGCACCCGCAUAUCCACCUAUAUUCUAUUGGCCAUACCCGUCACCAC
rnacentral:misc_RNA from 1 species